UUCAGUUCUUCUUCACUACGAAGAAGAAUCUCACGAUUCUCACCAUCGCAUUCUUCCCUUCUACUGAAGAGUCUCACCAUGCUUCAUUACUUCUUAUUUCUACAUAUUCUUCUUCUCUGUUCACCUCUUCUUAUACGUUCUUCUUCUUCAUCUGGUUUAGGGUUCUUAUGUUUUUCAUCUGCUACUGCUAGCUACUAAGAAACUAAUUGCAAGUAAUUGUAUACCAGUGAAAUAUUGGUUUGGUGAAGACGAGACAGCAACCUGUGGAAGCAAAUUAAUUGGAAAGUGUAGAUGGGUCUGGUAGAGUUUGAGCUGGAGAACUUGAAUUGGUGAUGGUAUGUUAGUUGCUGAUACAGGUAACUGGUGGUGGUAUGCUGCUCGAAUUACAGAAGAAGAGAGUUGGGUUUGAGCAGAAAUUGAAGAAGAAAACAUGAAGAAGGUUGUUGUUGAAGGAGGGAUUAAAUAUGCACUGGUGGUUGGUUGCUAUUGCAGUGAUGGAGAUUUAAAGGGUUUGUGAAUGUAUGCUUUACAGGGAAAGACCAUGAGGCAGUGAAUGGAAGAAUGAAGUUGAAGUGCAGUGAGCUGUAGGUAAUGGUGUUGAUGUUGUGCUGUUAAUGAAGGAGAUCAAGAUAAUAACUUAUGGUAUUGGCUGUGAGUUAUUGAAGCAACAAAGGUGAAUGGGUCAGAUGCAACUCUUGUGCAGGCAAUAAGUUACAGAAGGAGUUGCAGGUAACGGUGAACUUGACUUGCAUAUGGUGCUGCUUUCGGUAUUUGGAGAAUGGUGUUGGUGGAUCGAUUGUUAGAGCAGGUAGAAUGAGUGGGUUGGUGCAGCAAAGCAGCUACAACUAUUGCUUGAUCUGGUUAUUACAGUUUGAAUUGAUUUUGACUUAGUUUUAGGCGAGAAAAACCAUGGAGAAGAUUGAUGUUUCUUCCAUUGGUUUGUAUAAUUGAAUGAAUGCUUGUUAACCGAUACCCAGAACUAUGGAAUUACAUAAUUUUUUGGUUAGCUGCAAGUUUAAUUACAUAAUUAUAAUUAUAAUUGAUGA